GCACUGCUGAGGAGUCCCAUACAAAGACGAAACGGCCGUCCAGUGC
rnacentral:hammerhead_ribozyme from 2 species